UCUGCUCAAUGAAUAUUAAAUAGCCGCAAUUAGUGCUAAGGUAGCAUAAUAAUUUGUCUUUUAAAUAAAGACUAGAACAAAAGAUUUAACAUUUUAACUAAUUUUUUAAAAAAACUUUUCAAAAUUUUCUUAAAGUUAAAAGACUUUAAUACAAUAAAAAGACGAUAAGACCCUAUUGAACUUUACUUAAGUUUUACUGGGGCAGUAAAUUAAUUAUUAUUUUAAUAUGAAUAUUAAAAUCAACAGCCUCAUAUCUGAUAAUUAAGUUACCAUAGGGAUAACAGCGUAAUUAUAUUUUAAAGACCUUAUAUAAAAUAUAGAUUGCGACCUCGAUGUUGAAUUAAUACCCUUAUUAAAGCAAAAUUUAAAUAAGGAAGUCUGUUCGACUUUUAAAAAAUUACGUGAUCUGAGUUCA
rnacentral:rRNA from 1 species